UCACCACUCUUGUAGUAAAGAACUUCCCCCUGACAUCCAACCUAAAUCUUCCCUCCUUCAACUUAAAACCAUUUAAAACGAAAUACAGCUUUUAGCAGUGACCAAGCAACAAGUGGCAAAAAAAAAAUAAAUCAUGUGAGCUCACAAUUGUGCAUGUGAGCUCUCUAGCAGCAAUAGGUGCAGGAAAAAAAAAAAAAGAAAAAAAAAAAAGAAAACUCACAUCAGUGCCUUGCAGCAAAAGUGAUACGCCCUAAAGCUUUCUUUAAAUGCUUUUUUGGGCUGUAUUGAACAAGUGUUUCUGGUUGCUUCUGCUCAGCUCCUGCUCUGAGCCCUCCUGAGUGCAGUUGUCAUUGCACUGGGUGCGAUGCAGAAACUAUUUCAGGACAGUAAAUUCUGCCUGAAGUCAACCCUCCGUCUUGGAGGGCUUUUUUUGUUUUAUUUCUCUUUUUCAGACAAAAGGAUGAGGGUUCAAACCUAGUUAGGACCUGGUUUACAGCAAAGGGCUUUGCAAAGGGAGGACAGCGGUGCUGUGGGUGGGGUGCUGGUGGUAACUGGGUGAGUUAAAGACAGAUAGUUUGGGAAAUGGGAGUUGCAAACACAUUGCCUGACCACGAUGAAUGUGUGGGAAGGAUGAGAGCCUGGUUUAAACCCAGUUCCCCAAGCUAGAAGCAAAAUCCUCAGGGAUCCUUCUGUGACGGGGGUGACAGGUCCCUGGGAAGUCCUCAUAGGGCCAGAUGAGGGUGUGAGAUGGACUGCAAAGGAGCCCUUUACCCCGAUGUUCCUGCUUAAAAUCUCAGGGAUGACAUUUAAUUCAUGGAUCCAUCUUGCCUAAACCAAAGAAUCAGAUACAACCGCAACUCUUCUUCCAAGCUACUAUAAUGUUUUUCCAUUGGAAAGCACCAGGAGGAGGUCCCUAUGGCUCACCUAUGAGAGCACCCCGUGGGGCACUAACUGAGGUGAGAAAAGUUACAGUCUGAACCUCUCCUGUAAUUCUCAAGAAAGAAAACUAAGUUGAACAUAACAUUCUGAACCUGCAAUGUCUACCAGAGCGGGAACAUUUCUCAACGCUGCCUGAAAGUCUGCUCAGAAAUGGGUCCGAGAGGUUUGAGCAAUGUCCUGUGAAAGUUCCUGACCUCACAAGGCAAGAGCAAAACAGAUCUCACCCCAUAAACUGCUAAAUCAGACAGAUAGCUGACUCCCUGGGCUGCAGAGACAGACACAGGGUUUUUAAAUGGUUAGAGGGCAAUUGCAUGGCAAGCAGUUGGGAAUAUUCCAGUCUUGGGAAUCUGAUAUUGUUUCUUCUUGGCAUGAAAUGUGUCUGUAGAACUUCAGGCUUGGUCCCAACAGAAUGGGUCAAAGGGUGCAGAUACGCCAAAGCCAAACUCUAGGUGGUGGCACUGCCACUGACUCCACGAUAUUCGUGUUAGCCUGGCACUGGGCUGCACCUCCUCCUCCCAGGGACUUCCAGUUAUAUCAAACCAACAUCUCCCACUCUGUCCCCAUACUUUUUUCAAUGGGAAAUCCCUCACUGAAGCCCUGGGGUUGAUUUAGUGUGUGAUGCCACAAGAUGGUACACCUGACUUCAGGUGACCUGGUCCCUUACCAAGAUGCCACAGUCCCCUCAGAGAAAGCAUCCAAGACGAAAUCCUGCUAGUUGGAAAGAAAAGUGUUUACACUAUUACUGUAUCCCAAGUGAGCCAGAUCAGACAGCACCUGCCCUGCUGCCAGCAUAACCCUGCCAUAUGCUGCCACAGUGCCUUCUCCAGGCACAUCAGCAGAAAUGGAUCACACCACAUCCACACCUAAUCCUAAGUGAUAAAGCAAAUCAAAGAUCCAGCCAUAAUCCCACUCUUUUGGGGCAGGUUGUGUUAAUUAGGAGCUUAAUUGCCAGCCCAGUAGUGCAUAUGGGAUGCAGCCCUCCAGGUGCAUAGGGAACACCCUACAGAGCAGCCCAUUCAACUCAUUUAAAGCACAAGAUGGUCACCCUCCGGAAAUCACAGCCUCUCAUUAUCCUGUGGACUCUGCUAUCGAAUUAUUUCCUAACAUCUUAUUUGCACCUGCCUUUCAUUAAGAGCCUGGAUCGUUAUCUCAUCAUUGCAGAUUAUUAAAUCCAACAAUGGCAAAGGCUGUGGCCUUUCAUUCUGGGACUGACUCACCUUGUGAUGUAACACGGACAACCUCAGCAUCACUAUGGCAACCACUGGGCUUCUCAAAGAGUACUGAUGUCAUGAAGCCAGAUGCUGGGGGACGGUGUGUGGAAUCUCUCAAAGAAGUGGGAGAAACUACAACACAGUCACAGAACUGCAAAUAUUAAAAGUUAGCCCCAGGGCAGCUGGGGUUAGGGAGAAAGGAGACAGGAGGGAGUCAGGAAGAAGCUUUGAUGAGGAGCUGCAUUUCGAAACUGCGUACGUGCUGGUGAUCUUUCCACACCCUUGUGAGCACAUCUGCCAUAUCGACAACUCGCUCAUCCCUGCUUCCUUGCAGAGCUGGAGUGAUACAGGUGAUUGUUUCCCAACAGCAUCCCACAUAUCUCAGCUCCAAAAGCCAUGAUUGGGACCAACACCACUGCUUGGGUUGAGCUGUUCCUUGGGUCAGCCUCUCUAAAGGUUCACCUCUCCGUUUGACUGAUGGAAAUCACAAGCCAUCAAGAAGCAAGGAGCUUUCAGUGUCCCACUUUUGCUUUUAAACCUGAGACCUACAGGGACUGCUUUUAGGACAUCUGUGAAAACCUAGGAGGCAGUAUGGUCAAUAGGUUGAAAGUCAGACUAAGAAAAUCCACAGCUACACUGAAAAAAUGUCCAAGAACCGGCCAGCUGAAAGGCCACUGUGAAAUGGCAAAGAUUUCUGAAUCCUCUGAACCAAGAACAGAAAUAAUCAAGAGAUGAAAAACUCUGGUUGAGGACCUGCUCAUCACACAAUGGACAACUGAAUUUUGCUUUUUCCUUCAUUGACAUUUUCCAAUCAGACACGAAAAAUAUUUAUCUGGAAUUCUGGGACAAGCUGAAAUAAUAUGCUGCCAAACAUAUUUUCUCAAAUAUAUUUAUGUUUUUGUUCUUUUCCUCACAACUACAAGCUGUUAACAAAUUCGAAGGAAAAAGUCAGAAGCACAUUGGCUAUUCUAUUGACCAUGAGUUGUCCCUGCUAAAUAUGAUGGAAAAGGGUGGAAAAUGCAUUCUCAUUAUAACUGCUUCAAUAUUUCUGGUCACAUUACCCAUCAGGAGCCCAGAGCAAAACUCCUUUCCUUAAGGAGGCUGCAAUUCUACCUUCCUCCUCCUCAAAACCCAAGCGAAUGACUAUAGGAGAUAUGUGUUUAUCUCACAUGUUCAUCCACAACGUGUGAGUGAGCCCAGCAUGUCUCCAUUUGAGCCUUCAGAGACAGGAAGGUCAGAGCAAGGGUUUCACAUUUCCCAGCCCGGCUGUUUACUCAGUGUUCAGGAGGCAUUAAAACAACUGCUAGAGCACAGCCUGAGUCAACACAAGCUCCGACAGCCGCCCAGGCAGACUCUCCUGCCAACUUCCCAAUAAAGAAAGGGAACGGUGCUCAGGCUGAAGGCACAACCUUCCUUUGCUUCCUGUCAUGCUUUUGUCGCCUGGGCUUGCAUAACACAAAGUGUUGGGCCCUUGUGGAUGCCCUGUAGAUUGGACAGACCCUUGGGUUGCACAGACUCUUGGGUCAGACAGGCUUUUGGGUCAGACAGACUCUUGGGUUGCCCAGCCCAUGCAUUGAGUCAAUGGGAACCCCAGUUUCCUGCACCCACGGGGAUGCUGACACUCAUGGAGCCCAGAGCAUUUCUCACAGCUCCAGCUAUGCAAGGUAAAGAUAAAGGUUGUCGCUACUGAGGACCCCAUCAGUGUGAGAUGAAGGCAGCUAAAAAGACCUGAAAGCCCACCUCCAUGCAGCCUACCAAACCCAGACAAGCAUAGCUCCCUUGGUUGUGGAACACAUGCUGGGUCACAUGAGAUAGCCUUCUGAUGCUGCUUAAAAAUCUGGUCCUUUUGCAUUCAGAAAGACUCAAGUCAUCGAUGAGGAGGGGUGACUAAGUCCUGGCACUGGCGCACACCAGCCACAUCCCACAUUGCUUUGUUUUGUCUUGUUUGCUGUUAGCCACCGUGGCCAUGGCACCAACCCAACCCCACGGCUGCAAUCCACAGCCCAAACCAGAAAAGGUAAUCACAGAUUUUCCAAAAUUCGGCACUGAGACAGGAAAUCCCUACCUAGGAAAGGCCAUUUUCCACCCACUGUCCUCUACCAAGGAGUUACGAAAACUGCUGUCAUUGCAACAACAAUUUGUUGAGCACUUUUUAAAGUUUUAUAAAAUCACAUUCAGAUUCAUAACGCUGAUGUGUUUGACUUGGGUUGGUUUCUGAGCAGCUAAGCUGCACCCAAAAAUUACCAAAAAAAGAAA